GACGUAGGGCGCGAGCGUUGUCCGGAUUUAUUGGGCGUAAAGAGCUCGUAGGCGGCUUGUCGCGUCGUCCGUGAAAACUUGGGGCUCAACCCCAAGCUUGCGGUCGAUACGGGCAGGCUCGAGUUCGGUAGGGGAGAGUGGAAUUCCUGGUGUAGCGGUGAAAUGCGCAGAUAUCAGGAAGAACACCCGUGGCGAAGGCGGCUCUCUGGGACGGUACUGACGCUGAGACGCGAAAGCGUGGGGAGCGAACAGG
rnacentral:rRNA from 1 species